GAUGAACGCUGGCGGUAUGCUUAACACAUGCAAGUCGAACGAAGAUUAAAUAGUGCUUGCACAAUUUAAUACUUAGUGGCGGACGGGUGAGUAACACGUAAGAAUCUACCUUUUGGCGAGGGACAACCACUGGAAACGGUGGCUAAUACCUCAUAUAACUGAGAAGUGAAAGAUGAAUAAUCACCAAAAGAUGAGCUUGCGUCUGAUUAGCUAGUUGGUAAGGUAAUGGCUUACCAAGGCAACGAUCAGUAGCUGGUCUGAGAGGAUGAUCAGCCACACUGGGACUGAGACACGGCCCAGACUCCUACGGGAGGCAGCAGUGAGGAAUUUUCCGCAAUGGGCGAAAGCCUGACGGAGCAAUACCGCGUGAAGGAUGACGGCCUAUGGGUUGUAAACUUCUCUUCUCAGAGAAGAAUUUUGACGGUAUCUGAGGAAUAAGCAUCGGCUAACUCUGUGCCAGCAGCCGCGGUAAUGUGUG
rnacentral:rRNA from 1 species